rnacentral:rRNA from 1 species
UACGUAGGGUGCGAGCGUUGCUCGGAAUCACUGGGCGUAGAGGGUGCGUAGGCGGGUCUUUAAGUCAGGGGUGAAAUCCUGGAGCUCAACUCCAGAACUGCCUUUGAUACUGAAGAUCUUGAGUUCGGGAGAGGUGAGUGGAACUGCGAGUGUAGAGGUGAAAUUCGUAGAUAUUCGCAAGAACACCAGUGGCGAAGGCGGCUCACUGGCCCGAUACUGACGCUGAGGCACGAAAGCGUGGGGAGCAAACAGGG